rnacentral:rRNA from 1 species
CAAUAGCGUAUAUUAAAGUUGUUGCGGUUAAAAGCUCGUAGUUGGAUUUCUUCUCUUAUCAGCCGGUCCUCACUUCGUGAGAGUAUCUGGUCAGAUUUGAGAAUCCUCUUGAGGAACGUCGCUGCGCUUGAUUGCGUGGCACGGUAUUCAAGACUUUUACUUUGAGGAAAUUGGAGUGUUCACGGCAGGCAUUCGCCUUGUACACAUUAGCAUGGAAUAAUAAUAUAGGAUCACGACCCUAUUUUGUUGGUUUCUAGAGUUGUGAUAAUGAUUAAUAGGGACAAUUGGGGGCAUUUGUAUUAACACGUCAGAGGUGGAAUUCUUGGAUUGUGUUACGACAAACUACUGCGAAAGCAUUUGCCAAGGAUGUUUUCAUUGAUCAAGAACGAAAGUAAGGGGAUCGAAGACGAUCAGAUACCAU